GUCAGAUUCUACAGAUGACUGUGUUUUACUGUAAUGUUCUAGAAACACUAAAGACAUCAGCGUCCUAUUUUUCCCAUUUCAAAUAAAUGCUGUACUUUUGAACCUCUUGUUCAUCUGUGAAUCCCGAAAAAUAAAAUGUAUCACAGUUUGCACAAAAAUAUUGUGGAGCACAACUGUGUUCAACAUUGAUAAUAAUCAGAAAUGUGUCUUGAGCAGCAAAUCAUCAUAUUAGAAUGAUUUCUGAAGAUCAUGUGACACUGAAGACUGGAGUAAUGAUGCUGAAAAUACAGCUGCACAUCACAGAAAUAAAUUACAGUUUAACAGAGAUUCACACAGAAAACAGCUGUUUUAAAUUCCAAUAAUAUUUCACUGUUUUACUGUAUUUUUGAUUAAAUAAAUGCAGCCUUGGUGAGCAGAAGAAACCUAAUCUUAAUUAUUCUAAACAUUUGAACAAUAGUGAGCAUGAGCUGCUGUUUCAUUCUAGGUUAGUUAUGCAUUAGAUCACAGUUUAUCCAGCAGUUCUCUCUGUGAAGCAACAGAUCACUCAGAUUAGUGCACUAUUUAUAGAAAAUACCAUUUUUGAAUUGCAUUGUCCAUCAAUACCAAAAUAAUUAAAUAGAAUAAUAAAAAAACAUUAAAGAGUAAUUGUAAAUCAAUGGUCUGUUUGUGGUUAAUAGGAGAGACACAAGGGGCCUGGAGCAGAAACAGAGGUGCAGGUUGCAAUAUUCUGUUCGGAAAUGUGAAGUUGUGUUAUAAAGUCCUGAAACACAGCAGCUAAACCUCAUGAGGACUCAUAUUUUAUACAGUGCUCAGUGUGUGUGUGUGUGUGUGUGUGUGUGUGUGUGUGUGUGUGUGUGUGCGUGGCACGUGCAGCAUGGAGGUGGAUUAGUGCUACUGUUCCACUUGCUGCAUUACUGCCGUUCUCUCCAUCAGCCAAUGCCAUCUGGACACAAACACACACACACACGCACACACGCGUCCCUCUAUUACCACUGUACCACCACCUGACCCCUGACCCCAUCAGCACCAGCUCUCACACACACACAGACACACGCACAAUGUACCCAAGCACAAACAGAAUGUGUUGUGCGCUCAUGCAUGAAGGCUUAUGCUGGGACACAUGGCUCAAGUGUGUGUUCGUGUGUGUGUGUGUGUGUGUGUGUGUGUGUGUGUGUGUGUGUGUGUGUGUGUGUGUGAGAGAGGCGCAUGCACAAUUAACACAAUCAAACCUGAGCUUAUUAAUCAUUCUGUAUGAAUGAGCUUUAAUCACACACACACACACACACACACACACACAGAACAACACACCAUUGUUCGCAUUUACCUCACUUCCUGUUGCCCAACAUCACAAACAAAGUUCAAUACAAUCCGAGCAAAUUCAGGUUCAUUGGGACAUUUCCUAUAUUUAACAUUAUGCAGAAUCACAUAAACUUCCUCAAAUCACUUAAGUCAAACCCAAAAUUUUUGUGCAUUUUUCUAAAUAAUAAACUAUAAUUUCUAUACCUUUAUUUUUAUUUAGUUUAACUCUGUAAACUUUUUCCCCUUCAGCAAUAAUCCAAGUGAUUCUAUGCUCUAUGCUUCAGGUCUAUGCUCAAAAUGUGUUGAACAGGUAACAAAUGCAUCAUAACUAUUGCAUAAAUAGAAUUUAGUACCAGAAAAAAAAACCUAAAAACACAACAUUUAAAAUUAAAAACAUUAAUGAGCAAAAUCUUAGAACAUUCAAUUAAUUUAAAUUUAUUAAAAAGAAGUUAUUUUGACCUCCAUGUGAGGAGCUCCAGGUUGAGUGUGUGUCAGAGCUACAGAGACUUGCGUAAUCUCCACACACACACACACACACUCAGACAGCCACCUGCUGCUGUCUGCUGUGGAUUAUCAAUCUGUCUGAGUCCAGAUGUCUCAUAUGUCUCUUCAUCAGCUCAUCUAUAUAUGUCUUCAAAACAAUCACUAAAUGACUUCAUUCUCACGACUGUGAGUUUGUGUUAUAAAGAUUGGGAUUUUAAAUGCAUGUACUGUAUACACAAAAACAGCAAAACAACAAACCUACAGGCCAAUUUACAUUUACAUGCAUAAUACUGAUAAAUCUGAUAUAUUCCUACAAUAAAACCAUAGUGAAAUACAUUAAAAAUCUAAAAAUGAAAUACUCCUAAAACUACUGGAUGCAGCUGAACACCUACACAGUGUUAGUCUUUCAAUUUCAUUCUCAUUUCUAAAGAAUUGAGAUGAACAUUCCUGCUUUAAUAAGACAGAUGAUGAUUUACAGAAGCACAAAGUGGGUGUCUGAGUCAUUAGCUUAUGAGUGUUUGUUAAAAACCUUUGCUGGUGUGAUGAAGAAUGACUUGAUUUCAGUCUGUAUGAAGUAUUUUGGUAGUUUUAGUGCAUUUUGGUUGUGAAAAUUACUGCUGUGCCAAACUAAAGGUGGUUAAAAAAAUGUUUGUUUUUUUUUCCAAAAUUAUUUUCUAGAGAUUAUAUUCUAGUGAACCUUGCAGCUAUAAGGAUUCUUUAAAAAUGUUUGCAUGUUUAUUUAAGCUGUUAACCUACACUAGUCACUAACCACAACUUUAGUUCUGCACUUCACUCAAACUAAUUCAAACGCUCUGAAAACUCAACAUCACGCUGGACUGGAUCUCUAACACACAACCAGAUGUCUUGAGAAGCAACUAAAUCAACUAAUAAACACUCAAACAAUCAUAAAACAUCAAGUUUCAGAAUAAGCCCCGCCCACCCUCUUCCUCGGGCCCUUUCCUUCACCUCAUCCAGAUCUCCAUCCUUCCAUCCAUCUCUCUCACACGUACUGUACCUGUGUGUGUCUUCCAAAUAUCUUUCUCUGUCUAUCCACAUCACCGAAACACAAACUCCUCUCAGAAGCACACUAAAGUCUCAUUCAGGUGUGUUUCUCGUCCUCUUUCACUCUCGCUGUCUGUCCACGUCUCUCUGCUCACAAUCUCACUACAAAUGCCUCUUUCCCCUCUUUAUCCCGAGUCAGCGCUGGGUCCUAGUGCCACACCAUCAGGAGAAAAGGAAAAUUCCAAAACAACAAACCAAAGUCAUAUAAAGAGAUAGAC
ensembl:lncRNA